rnacentral:rRNA from 1 species
CAAUUUAAACAACGAAGAGUUUGAUCCUGGCUCAGGAUGAACGCUAGCGACAGGCUUAACACAUGCAAGUCGAGGGGCAGCGGGGUGUAGCAAUACACCGCCGGCGACCGGCGCACGGGUGAGUAACGCGUAUGCAACUUGCCUAUCAGAGGGGGAUAACCCGGCGAAAGUCGGACUAAUACCGCAUGAAGCAGGGAUCCCGCAUGGGAAUAUUUGCUAAAGAUUCAUCGCUGAUAGAUAGGCAUGCGUUCCAUUAGGCAGUUGGCGGGGUAACGGCCCACCAAACCGACGAUGGAUAGGGGUUCUGAGAGGAAGGUCCCCCACAUUGGUACUGAGACACGGACCAAACUCCUACGGGAGGCAGCAGUGAGGAAUAUUGGUCAAUGGGCGUAAGCCUGAACCAGCCAAGUCGCGUGAGGGAUGAAGGUUCUAUGGAUCGUAAACCUCUUUUAUAAGGGAAUAAAGUGCGGGACGUGUCCCGUUUUGUAUGUACCUUAUGAAUAAGGAUCGGCUAACUCCGUGCCAGCAGCCGCGGUAAUACGGAGGAUCCGAGCGUUAUCCGGAUUUAUUGGGUUUAAAGGGUGCGUAGGCGGCCUUUUAAGUCAGCGGUGAAAGUCUGUGGCUCAACCAUAGAAUUGCCGUUGAAACUGGGGGGCUUGAGUAUGUUUGAGGCAGGCGGAAUGCGUGGUGUAGCGGUGAAAUGCAUAGAUAUCACGCAGAACCCCGAUUGCGAAGGCAGCCUGCCAAGCCAUUACUGACGCUGAUGCACGAAAGCGUGGGGAUCAAACAGGAUUAGAUACCCUGGUAGUCCACGCAGUAAACGAUGAUCACUAGCUGUUUGCGAUACACUGUAAGCGGCACAGCGAAAGCGUUAAGUGAUCCACCUGGGGAGUACGCCGGCAACGGUGAAACUCAAAGGAAUUGACGGGGGCCCGCACAAGCGGAGGAACAUGUGGUUUAAUUCGAUGAUACGCGAGGAACCUUACCCGGGUUUGAACGCAUUCGGACCGAGGUGGAAACACCUUUUCUAGCAAUAGCCGUUUGCGAGGUGCUGCAUGGUUGUCGUCAGCUCGUGCCGUGAGGUGUCGGCUUAAGUGCCAUAACGAGCGCAACCCUUGCCACUAGUUACUAACAGGUUAGGCUGAGGACUCUGGUGGGACUGCCAGCGUAAGCUGCGAGGAAGGCGGGGAUGACGUCAAAUCAGCACGGCCCUUACAUCCGGGGCGACACACGUGUUACAAUGGCGUGGACAAAGGGAGGCCACCUGGCGACAGGGAGCGAAUCCCCAAACCACGUCUCAGUUCGGAUCGGAGUCUGCAACCCGACUCCGUGAAGCUGGAUUCGCUAGUAAUCGCGCAUCAGCCAUGGCGCGGUGAAUACGUUCCCGGGCCUUGUACACACCGCCCGUCAAGCCAUGGGAGCCGGGGGUACCUGAAGUCCGUAACCGCGAGGAUCGGCCUAGGGUAAAACUGGUGACUGGGGCUAAGUCGUAACAAG